rfam:Beta proteobacterium AAP65 AAP65_Contigs_9, whole genome shotgun sequence.
UCGCAAUCCGCUUGCCCGGUGUAGCCGGGGUCGCGGAAGGUUGAUCAACCCAUCGGAGCCUUGGAAACCAGGGCGAAAGGUGAGCG